rnacentral:rRNA from 1 species
GAUGAACGCUGGCGGCGUGCCUAACACAUGCAAGUCGAACGAAGCACUUAGGUGAAUCCCUUCGGGGUGAAGCCUUUGUGACUGAGUGGCGGACGGGUGAGUAACGCGUGGGCAACCUGCCCUAUACCGGGGGACAACAGCUGGAAACGGCUGCUAAUACCGCAUAAGCGCACAGAGUCGCAUGGCUCAGUGUGAAAAACUCCGGUGGUAUAGGAUGGACCCGCGUCCGAUUAGCUAGUUGGUAGUGUAAUGGACUACCAAGGCGACGAUCGGUCGCCGGCCUGAGAGGGCGGACGGCCACAUUGGGACUGAGACACGGCCCAAACUCCUACGGGAGGCAGCAGUGGGGGAUAUUGCACAAUGGGGGAAACCCUGAUGCAGCGACGCCGCGUGGGUGAAGACGGCCUUCGGGUUGUAAAGCCCUGUUGAGGGGGACGAUAAUGACGGUACCCCUGUAGAAAGCCACGGCUAACUACGUGCCAGCCGCCGCCGUAACAC